AGUGAACGCUGGCGGUAUGCCUAACACAUGCAAGUCGAACGGCAGCACAGUAAGAGCUUGCUCUUACGGGUGGCGAGUGGCGGACGGGUGAGGCAUACAUCGGAAUCUACUUUUUCGUGGGGGAUAACGUAGGGAAACUUACGCUAAUACCGCAUACGACCUACGGGUGAAAGCAGUGGAUCUUCGGACCUUGCGCGAUUGAAUUAGCCGAUGUCGGAUUAGCUAGUUGGCGGGGUAAAGGCCCACCAAGGCGACGAUCCGUAGCUGGUCUGAGAGGAUGAUCAGCCACACUGGAACUGAGACACGGUCCAGACUCCUACGGGAGGCAGCAGUGGGGAAUAUUGGACAAAGGGCGAAAGCCUGAUCCAGCAAUACCGCGUGGGUGAAGAAGGCCUUCGGGUUGUAAAGCCCUUUUGUUGGGAAAGAAAAGCAGCAGGUUAAUACCCCGCUGUUCUGACGGUACCCAAAGAAUAAGCACCGGCUAACUUCGUG
rnacentral:rRNA from 1 species